AUUGAACGCUGGCGGCAGGCCUAACACAUGCAAGUCGAACGAGUGGCGGACGGGGGAGUAAUGUCUGGGAAACUGCCCGAGGGAGGGGGAUAACUACGGGAAAAGGUAGCUAAUACCGCAUACCAUCGGAUGUGCACAGAUGGGAUUAGCUUGUAGGUGAGGUAACGGCUCACCUAGGCGACGAUCCCUAGCUGGUCUGAGAGGAUGACCAGCUACACUGGAACUGUGAAACGGUCCAGGCUCCUACGGGAGGCAGACGUGGGGAAGAUUGCACAAUGGUGGCAAGCCUGAUGUAGUCAGGACGCGUGUAUGAAGAAGGACUUCGGGUGUGAAAGUACUUUCAGCGGGGAGGCGUUACCCGCAGAAGAAGCACCGGCUAACUCCGUGCCAGCAGCCGCGGUAAUUC
rnacentral:rRNA from 1 species